rnacentral:RNase_MRP_RNA from 14 species
CACACAAGAAGCAUUUUUUUAAUCGUUUUUGCUGUCGAUCAUUCUUCCAGAGAAAGUCUCCCGACACUUCCGUGCAAGGGUAGCGUUUGCGGGUUGUCGCUUUACUUAC